GUUGUAAAACGACGUUAUGCAUGAACGUAAUGCUCAUAACUUCCCUCUAGAUCUGGCUGUUAUUGAAGUUCCAUCUACAACUGGAUAAUACUUCGGUCCUAGUCUAUACGAGUUUUUGAAAGUAAGGGAGCAAUGCACUCUUGAUAGAACAAGAGGUGAUUGCUCCUUUACUUUUCUUUUGUUUAUUACGACUAGAGUAGUCUUUUACUUACAGAUUGUUUUUUUGUUACAAGAAAAAGAUUUUUAUGCUUUGGUUCAUGAUUGAGUCUCCUUUUUUCUUUUUUUAUUCCUUUUGAAUUGAGAUACCUUUGUUUUGUGAAAUUCUUAUUUUCCAUUGAAAGGAAAAUGAAAGGAAAAGAGAAAAUUUGCUUAAGACUUCAAAUUUAUAUCUCCGAAAUAAGAAAAAAAUAAUCGGGAAUUUUAGAAAUUGAAAUCUUAAGGGGCGGAUGUAGCCAAGUGGAAUAAGGCAGUGGAUUGUGAAUCCACCAUGCGCGC
rnacentral:misc_RNA from 1 species